rnacentral:rRNA from 1 species
UAGGAAUUGGCGGGGGAGCACCGCAACGGGAGGAGCGUGCGGUUCAAUUGGAUUCAACGCCGGAAAACUCACCGGGGAAGACUGGUACAUGUGAGCCAAGCCGAUGACUUUGCUCGAAUUCCAGAGAGGUGGUGCAUGGCCGUCGUCAGUUCGUACCGUAAGGCGUUCUGUUAAGUCAGAUAACGAACGAGACCCUCGUCUCUAGUUGCCACCUGCCCCUCCGGGGGCAGAGAACUUUAGAGAGACCGCUGCUGCUAAAGCAGAGGAAGGGGAGGUCAACGGUAGGUCCGUAUGCCCCGAAUUUCCCGGGCAACACGCGCGCUACAAAGGAUGGGACAAUGGGCUCCGACGCCGAAAGGCGAAGGCAAUCUCGAAACCCAUUCGUAGUCUGAAUUGAGGGCUGUAACUCGCCCUCAUGAAACUGGAUUCCGUAGUAAUCGCAUGUCAACAUCAUGCGGUGGAAUAUGCCCCUGCUCUUUGCACACAC